UGCUGGAGAUACUCAGGUCUGCUGAAUGUCCACUGCCUCAACCCAGCAUAGACAUGCAACCUCCAAGGAGCUGCAACUUCAUGCUGAAGCUACUGACAG